rnacentral:rRNA from 1 species
UAUCCUGCCAGUAGUCAUAUGCUUGUCUCAAAGAUUAAGCCAUGCAUGUCUCAGUGCAAGCCACAUUAAGGUGAAACCGCGAAUGGCUCAUUAAAUCAGUUAUGGUUCCUUAGAUCGUACCCACGUUACUUGGAUAACUGUGGUAAUUCUAGAGCUAAUACAUGCAAACAGAGUCCCGACCAGAAAUGGAAGGGACGCUUUUAUUAGAUCAAAACCAAUCGGUCGGCUCGUCCGGUCCGUUUGCCUUGGUGACUCUGAAUAACUUUGGGCUGAUCGCACGGUCUCCGUACCGGCGACGCAUCUUUCAAAUGUCUGCCUUAUCAACUGUCGAUGGUAGGUUCUGCGCCUACCAUGGUUGUAACGGGUAACGGGGAAUCAGGGUUCGAUUCCGGAGAG